rnacentral:rRNA from 1 species
UGGUGGAGUGAUUUGUCUGCUUAAUUGCGAUAACGAACGAGACCUUGACCUGCUAAAUAGCCAGGUUGACUUUUGUCGGCCGCCGGCUUCUUAGAGGGACUUUUGGCUCAAGCCAAUGGAAGUUUGAGGCAAUAACA